rnacentral:rRNA from 1 species
GGGGAAGGCGCCGCCUACCAUGCAAGUCGAGCGGCAGCGGGAAAGUAGCUGUGCUACUUUUGCCGGCGAGCGGCCCAUAAGUGAGUAAUGCCUGGGAAAUUGCCCAGUCGAGGGGGACUUAGAAGGAAACGACUGCUAAUACCGCAUACGCCCUACGGGGGAAAGCAUGCGAUCUAU